CCGCAUGCUCAAGACGUGGCUUCUCUGCUCCAUAUUCAUCUCUGCCUGAAUCUGCCAUGUUCUUGUGCCUGCUGCUUUUCUUGACGUAAUUCCUAAAAGGAAGAAACUUGAGGUGCAGUAACUGGUAAAUUUACCUUCAGAUCUGAAAAACAACCCCUUGGACCUUGAACUACCCAGAAAAGGAUUUAAGAAUUUAUCAUCUGAAGGGUCCAGAGAUGCCUUCCUCCAUAUUGGCCAGAGAGAGACAGUCUCCUCAAUGUCGAUGCUCCAUGGGGA
ensembl:lincRNA Gm27007 predicted gene, 27007